GACGUAGGGGGCCAGCGUUGCUCGGAAUUACUGGGCGUAAAGGGUUCGUAGGCGGUGCGGCAAGUCAGAUGUGAAAUCUCCAGGCUUAACUUGGAGGCUGCACCCGAAACUGCCGUGCUAGAGGGCGGGAGAGGCGAGUGGAAUUGCAGGUGUAGCGGUGAAAUGCGUAGAGAUCUGCAGGAACACCCGUGGCGAAGGCGGCCCGCUGGACCGCAACUGACGCUGAGGAACGAAAGCUAGGGGAGCAAAAAGG
rnacentral:rRNA from 1 species